ensembl:lncRNA
GGGGGCUGGUUCCUGGUCCCCAGGAGAAGCCAAGAAGGACGCAUGCUCUGUGCCAGACACAGUGUUAAACCCUGGGAUUACCACGAGAGAUACAGUGGCAGCCUCCAAGGAACUGAUGGUCAACUCUGGAGGCAGACAGACUGAUUUUCUGAUUGAUGGUGGAAGCAUUCCUCUAUUACUAUUCUUUUCUCUUAGAGCUUGGGUGAUGGCCCAAAAGAUCAGGAGAACCUAAAAGAAACGCUGAACCACGUCUGUAUGGGCAACACUACUGGUGGUCUAUAUGGGGGAGAGGGACAGGGAUGAAUAUAAUAUUAAUAGGUUUUGUCCACAGGAAGCCUAGGGCAGAGAGAUACUGUACCUUUAUGUGCAGCUGACAUCUGCCUGUUUUCCCGUAUAUUUCUUUGGUAGAUCCUAGGUUCAAGAGAGACAGUUAUGUGUCUAGAUAAAAGUAAAAUGCUGUGAAGGUUUAGGAUAAUUGAUUGACUCAUAAAUUGGGGUAUCCUGAAAAACUUCCUGGAGGAGGUGGCCUAUGCUUUGUAUAUUAAAAAAUGGGUAGGAUUGGGGCGUUGGAGAUGUGGUGAGUCAUGGGGCUGGAAAGGAUGAUGGUACCUAUGGCAUCAACAGCCUAGACUUUGAAACUUGAGGUCUUUACUCAAGGAACAUGGUCUGGAGCCCAGGCUGUGUGACAGGCAAGAGUGUGAGAAGCCACUGGAGGAGGAGGCUUGAGUCCCUUAAACAUCUUGCUAAAGACUUACCUUUACACAAUGGAGAGCUGUGAAAUGCUCUUGAGCAGAAAAGAGACAUCAGAGUUCUCCUUUAGGAAGAUGGUUCUGGCAAAAGAAUGGAGAGUGAUUUGCAAAGUUUGAAGGCAGAGGGCCCAGUUAGGAGGUUCAAGGCAGUAAAGGAGGUUCCUAGGUAACAGGUGUAGACUGACACCCGGAAGCACCUGGGCGUUGACUGCACAUUGUCCAGUGAUCCAAGUUUUACAGAAACCUGCUACCCUUUACUGCAGUGUUCCCCCACAACCUGGAAUCUAACGCAGGAAUCAUUGUGACUGGGACCUUAUUUACCUUUCAAGCCUCAUUUUCAUCUUCCAGAAUAGCCCUCAAAUCUGCAGCCAAAUCUGUACCUCAUUGCAGGCUGAGUUUACUUACUCUCGCCCCUUGGGUUCCUCUCUGGGAAUUGUGUUUGUGUCUGUGUGUGUUCUUAACACACUGCAGAGUGGGCUGUGUCCCACCACAUUCUGAAGAAAUGAUGAACAAUGCCUCUUUUGUUGACCUGCAACCUGGGCCAGUGGGGUAGGGCUUUUCUUUCUUAUUUUAAGCAGAUGGAAAAGUGGUGAUGACAGAAAACUGUCUGUUGCUUUUGAAAAAGUGGAGUUUCCCUGUGUGUUUGACAUCUUCUUGGUGAAAGGUGAUGAGCCUGUGAAGUUACCUGGCUUUCUGCUAUGCAAACUUUUCAAGCUUCUUAAAAUGCUUCUGCUCAGCAUCUGACUUUUUAAAAACUGCAUAAAUACUCUGACCCAGAUUCUUGCAAGGAAAGAAAAUCUUCCUUGGGAAGCUUGUUAACCCUUUCUGGCUUCCCUCCAGAUCUAUGAGAGCCAGUGACUUCCUCUAUUAAACUUUUCUAUGACAUUGAAUGCUGUCUGCUCUUGGGCCCUAAUUAACUAACCGGGUAUACCACCCACUGUCCCUUCCAGCCUAAGAACCUUUUUUUCUCUCCCAUUUCUGUCCUCUCCUUGGAAUUUGGCACCCUGAAGGUGCAUGGAGAAUGUUGAACAUAGUCAAGUUAUGGUCUCACUGCAGUGCCUAAAAAAGCCUCACUGGUCAAAUAGUUAAUCAACAACCCGUUUAUUGCCACUUUAGGAGUGCUUACACUGGUAGAAUGAGCAAAUAGUUUAAACACACACACAUAUUUUCAGAUAGUUGGUCAAAAUUUUGCCAUGAAUUUGUUUCUAG